UACGUAGGGUGCGAGCGUUAAUCGGAAUUACUGGGCGUAAAGCGUGCGCAGGCGGUUCGUUAAGUUCGUUGUGAAAGCCCCGGGCUCAACCUGGGAACUGCAAUGGAAACUGGCGGGCUUGAGUGUGGCAGAGGGGGGUGGAAUUCCGCGUGUAGCAGUGAAAUGCGUAGAGAUGUGGAGGAACACCGAUGGCGAAGGCAGCCCCCUGGGCUAACACUGACGCUCAUGCACGAAAGCGUGGGGAGCAAACAGG
rnacentral:rRNA from 1 species